ensembl:lncRNA
CCGCCUUCUUUCUUUUGAAAGGUGACACUAAUGAAACUGUCUAACACAGCAAUCCUUUUGUUUUUUGCCGAAUCGAAAGUUGAAAAAAAAAAAGUCUAAUUCACAAGAAAUAUAGUUAUUUUACUCCUGAGCGUAUACAUUUCCAGUUUGUUCGUUUGUUCCAUGCAGUGACGCAAUAUGGUUAAUGUAUGGUGUAGAACAUUUUAAGUUCCUGACUCUCUUGCUCAGAGUACCACUGAAAGGGCCGAAAAGCAACACCAGCACAGAUGUUUAUUCCAAAUAACUGUCACCAGUUCAAAAGUUCCACUUUUCAGCUUGCAAAGACGGCUUGUGAAGAGAGCUGAGCUUCCAGUGCAGCAGCAGCCAAAGUCACAGGGGCAGAAAUAGUACGAGGGAUUAGAGAGCGAAGGACAGCCCUGACUAUUCACGCUUGGCACUUGCAAGACAGCCACCGGUACAAAGCUCUGCCGAUUUGGUGUGUAUAAACCGCUGCCAGGAGUGUGUGUCAUCCUGAUGGAGCGUUUGAGGGAGAGAAGCUCUGUCUUCACUUAUCACUGUAACAAGCCCAGUGCUGAGCAAACACUUCUCAAGACGACGCUCUCCAUAAACGCGCAGAUAUAC